ensembl:miRNA
GUGAGGUGGGGGCCAGCAGGGAGUGGGUUGGGCUGGACUGGGCCAAGGUACAAGGCCUCACCCUGCAUCCUGCACCCAG